UACGUAGGUGGCAAGCGUUGUCCGGAAUUAUUGGGCGUAAAGCGCGCGCAGGCGGUCCUUUAAGUCUGAUGUGAAAGCCCACGGCUCAACCGUGGAGGGUCAUUGGAAACUGGGGGACUUGAGUGCAGAAGAGGAAAGCAGAAUUCCACGUGUAGCGGUGAAAUGCGUAGAGAUGUGGAGGAACACCAGUGGCGAAGGCGGCUUUCUGGUCUGUAACUGACGCUGAGGCGCGAAAGCGUGGGGAGCAAACAGG
rnacentral:rRNA from 1 species